GAUGAACGCUGGCGGCGUGCCUAACACAUGCAAGUCGAACGGCAACACGAUGAGAUCGUUCUCUUACCGGUGGCGGCGGGCGGGCGGGUAACGCGUGGAUCACCUACUUCUAUUUCUGGGAUAGUUACGGGAGACCGCAUACAAUAAUACAGAAUAUAUUGUACCGCUGAGUGCAAUAGAGAUUGACGGCUUUCGCGUCUGUUAUAGCUGGUUCCGCGUCGGAUUAGCUAGUUGGUAAGGUAACGGCUUACCAAGGCGACGAUGCGUAGCCGAUCUGAGAGGAUGAUCAGCCACACUGGAACUGAGACACGGUCCAGACUCCUACGGGAGGCAGCAGUGGGGAAUCUUGGGCAAUGGGCGAAAGCCUGACCGAGCAAUGCCGCGUGGGUGAAGAAGGUCUUCGGGUUGUAAAGCUCUGUUGUUGGGGAAGAACAGCUGUAUGUGUAUACAUGGAUGUUUUGACGGUACCUAAUGAAUAAGCACCGGCUAACUACGUG
rnacentral:rRNA from 1 species